rnacentral:lncRNA from 10 species
CUGAACCACAUUUGUGGUGAUGAAAGGUUUGGUCAGAAAAGGAGGCUGGGGUAAAACAGCAUCUAUUCUGUCAUUUGAAGAAUGGGAAGGAUUUUGCUAGAACAAGAGAGGGUGGGAAAAUAAGAAAGGAAAAUAGAACAUUUUAGGGAAAGGGAAUAGUGUGUGCAAAGAUGAAGAAGUAUAAAAGAAAAUGUAGCUUAUUCCAGAAACUGCUAAAAGGAUCAAUAUGGUGAGAAUAUCACAGUAGCUGUCGUGUCAUGAGAGAGCCACAAUUCUUCAAACAUAUUUAACUGCUGGAGAGAAUGGCUCAGAAUCCCAGGUAUCAGCUUCAGCACACAACCAAACAAAGAAAAAAACAGCGAAUCUGACAAAAGCAGGAUGAAGAAUAAAAGAGAAGAGAAGAAAUUAAAGAAAUAGGAAGCAGUUAUGAUGAUUAACAAGACUAACAACUAGUUCAAAGAAAAGAAAGCACUAAUAAAUUAGAAAAACAUCUGGAAAACUGGUCAAGUGAAAGACAAAGAAUGUAAAAGAAAAUAUUAUGAGGAACAUGGGGUCAAAUAAUAGAUAUCAUCUCUUUUACCCUACAAGUCCAAAGAGAACAUGAUGAUCAAUUUUAUGACUGUGUUUAGACAUAUUGGAUUAUUUAAAAUAAAAUUU